AAGUAAAGCAAUACCAGGGCUUAGGUUUACCCGUUUGUGUUUUGCUGUUGGUUGUUUGAGGUUGAGAAACAACAUUGCUUGGCUUUCGUUGCUCUUGUACUGGUGUGGUUUAAUUUCUUUCCUUCUGGAAUUUUGUGUUUGACUUCUGGGCUUAGCAGUCAGAGCUGUCAGUUGACUCUGAAGCUCGGCGAUCUGCUUCUUCAGCUUUUGUAUUUCAGUGGUCUGCAAUCAGGUUAUCCCAACAACCUCUGCAAAAUUGCUUGAGAAGGUGUUGGUCUGCUUUCUCAGGAUUAAUAUAGUACAGGAUUUAUAUAUACAGGAUUUUAUAGUCAUGCUCAAAGCUACGUGUACUCUGUGCAAGUAGGCAGAUGGUUUCUCACCCGAGUCUUGUAAGGUACUCAUGAACUUGGCGAAAAGCUUGUCUCCGUACUCAACGGUGCCAAAAGCUGAAUCUAACAGCUGAAUGCAAGAUGAAGGUGGAGUUUCAGGACUUAAAUGCUUGAUUACAUCGGCUGCUGGUGGCAGGAGGCUAUCAAGUAUCCUUCUAGAUCUGUGUAGGUCGGACACAUAUGGGUCUUUUAAAAUCAGUUCAACAUUAGAACGCAAUGUGUCAUAGUCCGCUUCAUUAUUGGGUCGAGGACAUUUUCCUGAAAAUGCUCUGAGCCUCAUAGGUGCACUUAACUGAGGAGUUUCUCCACUUCUCACUAUAUGUUCUCCUGUCACCUUUUGGACUUCAGGCGGGGUAAGUACAUGUGUGGUGAGUACAGUGGUUUCAUUCACAUUUGAAGAUGUUUGGUAGUUGGGUCUCAACAUAAGAUGUUUUAGGAGCUGAUGCAGGUGUCAUGGAUGUAACCUCUGAUGAUGGCUCCGACAACACCUCAGGUAAACCAGCAUCAUCUCCGGACUCAGUGGGAGUGACAAACUCAUUCAUCUGAGUGAGCAUUUCCUUGAGCACUACUUCAAAUUCUUUACCACUAAGUUUUGCAACUUCCUUCAAUUCAUCAAUGUAACUCUGGGUGGCGCUGCGCCCUACCUGCUUUAAGUAGAUGCUCGACAGUGAUUUUACAUAAGUUACAUUAGGAUCACUUGACAAUUGAUGAAUGUAAGGUAAUUUGGGCUCGAGAGAUUUUAGGGCCGAUCCACUUUGAAACGCGAGUAUUUCGUCUCGGUGAAACGGUGAAUCAGGAUUACUAAUAACAAUUUGGCGAGCAAUAGAAUCAUUUUUUCAAAACAUCAAUUAGUUCUUCAUCUAUCUCUGUUCUAGUUAAUCCACUGAUUAUCAGUGAGUUUGGAAUUUUAAUUCCCCACUCUUCAAUUAUUUCCAUGUUAUCAAUGGUAUAAUAGCUUUCACAAUGGUAUGUAUGUUCAAGAUUAACUGUUAUUAGUUCAAUAGCACCACCUCCUGGCUGGC
ensembl:lncRNA